GCCUCCUUAGCUUAGUCGGUAAAACACCGGACUAUUGUGCGGUAGGACUCGGGUUCGAGCCCUGAUGAAGGCA